UCUUGAUUGGUCUAGUGGUUAGGAUACCUGCUUGUCAUCAUCAUUAAGACAAUAAAAUCGCAGGUGGCCGGGGUUCGAUUCCCCGAUCGAGAG